rnacentral:rRNA from 1 species
CAUGCAAGUCGAACGGUGAAGCAGAGCUUGCUCUGUGGAUCAGUGGCGAACGGGUGAGUAACACGUGAGCAAUCUGCCCCUGACUCUGGGAUAAGCGCUGGAAACGGCGUCUAAUACCGGAUACGAGCUGCGACCGCAUGGUCAGUAGCUGGAAAGAAUUUCGGUCAGGGAUGAGCUCGCGGCCUAUCAGCUUGUUGGUGAGGUAAUGGCUCACCAAGGCGUCGACGGGUAGCCGGCCUGAGAGGGUGACCGGCCACACUGGGACUGAGACACGGCCCAGACUCCUACGGGAGGCAGCAGUGGGGAAUAUUGCACAAUGGGCGCAAGCCUGAUGCAGCAACGCCGCGUGAGGGAUGACGGCCUUCGGGUUGUAAACCUCUUUUAGCAGGGAAGAAGCGAAAGUGACGGUACCUGCAGAAAAAGCGCCGGCUAACUACGUGCCAGCAGCCGCGGUAAUACGUAGGGCGCAAGCGUUAUCCGGAAUUAUUGGGCGUAAAGAGCUCGUAGGCGGUCUGUCGCGUCUGCUGUGAAAACCCGAGGCUCAACCUCGGGCCUGCAGUGGGUACGGGCAGACUAGAGUGCGGUAGGGGAGAUUGGAAUUCCUGGUGUAGCGGUGGAAUGCGCAGAUAUCAGGAGGAACACCGAUGGCGAAGGCAGAUCUCUGGGCCGUAACUGACGCUGAGGAGCGAAAGGGUGGGGAGCAAACAGGCUUAGAUACCCUGGUAGUCCACCCCGUAAACGUUGGGAACUAGUUGUGGGGUCCAUUCCACGGAUUCCGUGACGCAGCUAACGCAUUAAGUUCCCCGCCUGGGGAGUACGGCCGCAAGGCUAAAACUCAAAGGAAUUGACGGGGACCCGCACAAGCGGCGG